GAUGAACGCUAGCGGCAGGCUUAAUACAUGCAAGUUGAGGGGCAGCAUGAUAUACGCGAGUAUAUUGAUGGCGACCGGCGGACGGGUGAGUAAUAGGUAGGAGACCUACCUCAUACAGGGGGAUAGCAUAGAGAAAUCUGUGGUAAUACCCCAUGAGGUUAUAUGAAUAGAGGCAUAUAAUCAAAGCAUAAGCGAUUAUGCGGUAUGAGAGGGGCCUACUGACCAUUAGCUAGUUGGUGAGGUAAGGGCUCACCAAGGCGAAGAUGGUUAGGGGUUUUGAGAGAGAGACCCCCCACAUUGGAACUGAGAGACGGUCCAGACUCCUACGGGAGGCAGCAGUAGGGAAUAUUGGGCAAUGGGCGAAAGGCCUGACCCAGCCAUGCCGCGUGAAGGAAGACGGCCUUAUGGGUUGUAAACUUCUUUACUACGCGAAUAGAGGUUAGUACGAGAUACUAAUAGGAAGGUAGUGUAGUAAAAGCACCGGCUAACUCCGUG
rnacentral:rRNA from 1 species